rnacentral:snRNA from 1 species
AUGCUCAUUCAGCAGCACAUAUACUAAAAUUGGAGCGAUACAAAGAUUAGCAUGGCCCCUGAGCAAGGAUGACAUGCAAAUUCAUGAAGCGAUCCAAAUUAAA